rnacentral:lncRNA from 1 species
AUGGUUCUCUGGAAAAGGGGCCCCUGGACAGACCACUCCCAUCACGAGGUGCCACCCUUUCUCCUGCCUUGGCCUGUGGCCCACGGGAGUCUGAAUCCCAGAUCUGGACGGGAGCUGCCGGGGAAGUGCCCUGGUGGAGGCGGUGGCUCCCGGAGGGGACAGCCCUGGGUGUGGGAGGCGGCCCACGGGCUGCCAGGCCUGUGCCGGCCCGGGUGUGGGACCUCCUGCAGCUGCCCCGCCCAGGCCCCGCCUGAGUGGAGUUAUAUAAAGGGCCUUUAUGAGCUGGGAGCGGGUGUGAUCCGCCCCGGGAGAACACACAGUCCAUUGUUGGCGGGCCCUUGUGGGCUCCCAGCGCAAUCUGUCUGUUUUGGGUGCUCCUCACCCCGUCGGUCUCCGCAGGCAGCGUCGCUGAGGGCUUCCACGUGGCAGCCCGCAGACAGCAGAACUCCAGCCCUUCGGGAGGCCUUUCCCACGCCAGGCCCCGAGCUGACAUUACGUGGUCCACAGCACAGCGAGCACGUAUGUUCUCAUCAGUCACGUGUGUGUGGAAACCGAGUGCAGGCACUUUCUCAAUGGAGGGUUUUUACCUGGACAGACUUGAAACUUGCGGGGAAGACCAGGGCUCUCUGCUGACCUCUGAGCAGAGGGGGCUCGGAAGGACAGCGAAAUGGAAGGCACUUUUGAAGAAUCCCAUCACACACACAAGCUGGAUUGAGCGCAUUAACGUUGCAGCCCUCAGCUGCCCCCAGAUUCCAGGGACAGGGGCAGGGGACAGUCAGGUCAGAAAGGGCUUCUGAUCCCAAGGACCUCACCCCAGGGAGCUUCUGCUUCCAGUCCCAGCCACCACCUUCCUCCCUGUCCCACAGGAAAGUUGCUGCCCGCUGUGGCCCCUGGAGGGACAGCCAGGACCCGGUGGAGGCAUCCAGCUCCAGAGCUCACCUGGGACUCUGAUCCUGGGUGGCAGGACUCCAGCCUUCUCCGUCCCUGUCCCUUCCUGGCCUGCUGUCUUGGACAGAGGUGGCAGGGCUGGGCUCCCUCCAGGGGGCAGAAGGACAGGGGCUCAGCCCGUACCCAGGCGUCGGGGCCCCGGUGGCCUUGGCCGGGCUUCUGGAAAUCUCUCCCGGGAGCAGCACUCCUCCUCACACGGAUGAAGCCAGGAGACUGAUUUUGUGUCUGUUUUCCUCGAGCCCUUGGUGUGUUUGCACAGCCACAAAAAGCCCCUUGUCAAUUACUUCACUCCUUGCAAACCCUGGGUGCAGGCUUCAAAAUCGCCCAAGGAUCUUUUCAUCAGGUCAAAGGAAAAGCAUGCUAUUUCGGUCUAGGAACACAUCUCUCUGAGCUGCAGAAUUCACGUCACGUAACAAGCACACUGCCUGGGGUAGGGUAGGAGUGUAAGUGGUUUUUUGAUUAUUUUUCUUGUAGUGUAUUUUUCAGUAAAUACACUUUCAAGUCACACCUGAGCAGCCGUAACUUGCUACUCACAGGCUAAGUCCAGAAGCAUUUUUUUAAGAAUUGCACAAGACCAGUGUUUUGGAAGAGGUUUUGCCUGUGUGGGGGGCAGGAGCUGUGCAUGGAGCUGGCAGCAGAGAUGUGAACUUCCGCCCCCAGCACUGACAGCCGGGCUCCAUGGGGCCUGAGUUUCAGGGCCCAUCCAACCCUGAGCUGUGUCCUGUGGACCAGACGGCCCUGUGGGUCAGCAAGCUCUCUUCCCAGCCAGGGGGAGCUGACACUGUAGGGCA